GAUGAACGCUGGCGGCGUGCUUAACACAUGCAAGUCGAACGGAAAGGCCCUGCUUUUGUGGGGUGCUCGAGUGGCGAACGGGUGAGUAACACGUGAGUAACCUGCCCUUGACUUUGGGAUAACUUCAGGAAACUGGGGCUAAUACCGGAUAGGAGCUCCUGCUGCAUGGUGGGGGUUGGAAAGUUUCGGCGGUUGGGGAUGGACUCGCGGCUUAUCAGCUUGUUGGUGGGGUAGUGGCUUACCAAGUCUUUGAAGGAUAGCCGGCCUGAGAGGGUAGACGGGCACAUUAGGACUGAGGGACGGAGCAGUAUCGUACGGGAGGCAGCAGUGGGGAGUAUUGCACAAUGGGCGGAAGCCUGAUGCAGCAACGCUGCGUGCGGGAUGCCGUCUUUCGGGUUGUAAACCACUUUCGCCUGAGACGAAGCGUGAGUGACGGUAAUGGGUAAAGAAGCACCGGCUAACUACGUG
rnacentral:rRNA from 1 species